UUGAUCAUGGCUCAGAUUGAACGCUGGCGGCAGGCCUAACACAUGCAAGUCGAACGGUAACAGGAAACAGCUUGCUGUUUCGCUGACGAGUGGCGGACGGGCGAGUAAUGUCUGGGAAACUGCCUGAUGGAGGGGGAUAACUACUGGAAACGGUAGCUAAUACCGCAUAACGUCGCAAGACCAAAGAGGGGGACCUUCGGGCCUCUUGCCAUCAGAUGUGCCCAGAUGGGAUUAGCUAGUAGGUGGGGUAACGGCUCACCUAGGCGACGAUCCCUAGCUGGUCUGAGAGGAUGACCAGCCACACUGGAACUGAGACACGGUCCAGACUCCUACGGGAGGCAGCAGUGGGGAAUAUUGCACAAUGGGCGCAAGCCUGAUGCAGCCAUGCCGCGUGUAUGAAGAAGGCCUUCGGGUUGUAAAUACUUUUUCAGCGGGGANGAANGNANUAAAGUUAAUACCUUUGCUCAUUGACGUUACCCGCAGAAGAAGCACCGGCUAACUCCGUGCCAGCAGCCGCGGUAAUACGGAGGGUGCAAGCGUUAAUCGGAAUUACUGGGCGUAAAGCGCACGCAGGCGGUUUGUUAAGUCAGAUGUGAAAUCCCCGGGCUCAACCUGGGAACUGCAUCUGAUACUGGCAAGCUUGAGUCUCGUAGAGGGGGGUAGAAUUCCAGGUGUAGCGGUGAAAUGCGUANAGAUCUGGAGGAAUACCGGUGGCGAAGGCGGCCCCCUGGACGAAGACUGACGCUCAGGUGCGAAAGCGUGGGGAGCAAACAGGAUUAGAUACCCUGGUAGUCCACGCCGUAAACGAUGUCGACUUGGAGGUUGUGCCCUUGAGGCGUGGCUUCCGGAGCUAACGCGUUAAGUCGACCGCCUGGGGAGUACGGCCGCAAGGUUAAAACUCAAAUGAAUUGACGGGGGCCCGCACAAGCGGUGGAGCAUGUGGUUUAAUUCGAUGCAACGCGAAGAACCUUACCUGGUCUUGACAUCCACGGAAGUUUUCAGAGAUGAGAAUGUGCCUUCGGGAACCGUGAGACAGGUGCUGCAUGGCUGUCGUCAGCUCGUGUUGUGAAAUGUUGGGUUAAGUCCCGCAACGAGCGCAACCCUUAUCCUUUGUUGCCAGCGGUCCGGCCGGGAACUCAAAGGAGACUGCCAGUGAUAAACUGGAGGAAGGUGGGGAUGACGUCAAGUCAUCAUGGCCCUUACGACCAGGGCUACACACGUGCUACAAUGGCGCAUACAAAGAGAAGCGACCUCGCGAGAGCAAGCGGACCUCAUAAAGUGCGUCGUAGUCCGGAUUGGAGUCUGCAACUCGACACCAUGAAGUCGGAAUCGCUAGUAAUCGUGGAUCAGAAUGCCACGGUGAAUACGUUCCCGGGCCUUGUACACACCGCCCGUCACACCAUGGGAGUGGGUUGCAAAAGAAGUAGGUAGCUUAACCUUCGGGAGGGCGCUUACCACUUUGUGAUUCAUGACUGGGGUGAAGUCGUAACAAGGUAACC
rnacentral:rRNA from 1 species